ensembl:snoRNA SNORA70 Small nucleolar RNA SNORA70
CAUCAAGAUAUGAAGCAGGACCGUGCUGUCCUCCCCAUGGUGCUCAGUGUGCAGUGCCUGCAAACAGCAGCCUUCUGGGUAGUGUAUGCAGCCUGUUACUCAUACAGGCUGCCCUAGAGGACCCUGAAGAUAACC